UUACGAACAAAUUUGAGUUCAGAUUGUGAAUAAUAUUAUUAAAGGAAAAUAAUAUCAAUCUUUUGAUUUUUGUGUUUCUGAAAUUAAACAUACAAUUUGGAAUAGGAAUAUUGAAAAUAUUUCAAGAAAAUUAUUAAACAAAUUUGUGAAGAGUAAAGAUAAACAGUGAUUGGACCAGAACUGAUUCUUGGAACCAUCUUAGAGUCAUCAACGGGUAGUGCAGAACCAAUUUUUAUAAAGUGGCAGCACAACCAAUAUAUUACAAACUGGGUGACCCUAGGUUGGAAAAAGCUUUCAUUGUGCAGAAGUAAAAGCUCUGUACAAGAAGUAAAAGCUCUCUCCAAGAAUUUGUAUUU